CCUACGGGAGGCAGCAGUGAGGAAUAUUGGUCAAUGGACGCAAGUCUGAACCAGCCAUGCCGCGUGCAGGAAGACGGCUCUCUGAGUUGUAAACUGCUUUUGUACGAGGGUAAACGCAGAUACGCGUAUCUGUCUGAAAGUAUCGUAAGAAUACGGAUCGGCUAACUCCGUGCAAGCAGCCGCGGUAAUCCGGAGGAUUCAAGCGUUAUCCGGAUUUAUUGGGUUUAAAGGGUGCGUAGGCGGUCGGAUAAGUUAGAGGUGAAAUCCCGAGGCUUAACUUCGGAAUUGCCUCGGAUACUGUUCGGCUAGAGAGUAGUUGCGGUAGGCGGAAUGUAUGGUGUAGCGGUGAAAUGCUUAGAGAUCAGACAGAACACCGAUUGCGAAGGCAGCUUACCAGGCUACUUCUGACGUUGAGGCACGAAAGCGUGGGGAGCAAACAGGAUUAGAUACCCGAGUAGUC
rnacentral:rRNA from 1 species